rnacentral:rRNA from 1 species
AUGGAUGCAUGCACUGUUCAGUGGAUGACUUGUUGUUUCUUGUCGCAGGUCGUCGUUGUCUUGUCCGGAUGCGCGGCGGCAAAGUCGUCAACAGGGACCUCACGGCCAGUUGUAGUACCCUGCGUCGACGAACUUCUUGCCAUGGUGACCAUGCACCGUUGUGUGCUUGCCUCCCGAGCUAUGCAUGUGGGGGAUGUUGAUGUAGAGCACGGCGGUGAUGACGAAGGUGAAUGCCCACCAGACGAGCACCACGACUGGCGUCUUGCCGUGCUUCCCCAGGAUGCCCUUGGCGAACGGGUAGAGGUGGAAGAGCACCCAGAAGUUGAAGAAGACGCCGCCGGCGACCUUGAGCCAGUGCGUCCACUCGCCGUCGAGCACCUUGGCGAAGGCCACCGCCGACCCGAUGAUGUUGACGAAAAUGAUGAUGAUGGGUGUGAUCAUGAGCGGCGUCCAGCGCACCACGUAGAGGUCGGCGUAGGGGUCCUUCUUCUCGUCUCCCGACGGUAG